UAGAGUUUCUUUCUGGCUCAGAUUGAACGCUGGGGGCAGGCCUAACACAUGCAAGUCGAGCGGUAACACAGAGGAGCUUGCUUCUUGGGUGACGAGCGGCGGACGGGUGAGUAAUGCCUGGGGAUCUGCCCGAUAGAGGGGGAUAACUACGGGAAACUGUAGCUAAUACCGCAUAAUGUCUACGGACCAAAGUGGGGGCUCUUCGGACCUCAUGCUAUCGGAUGAACCCAGGUGGGAUUAGCUAGUUGGUGAGGUAAUGGCUCACCAAGGCGACGAUCUCUAACUGGUUUGAGAGAAUGACCAGUCACACUGGAACUGAGACACGGUCCAGACUCCUACGGGAGGCAGCAGUGGGGAAUAUUGCACAAUGGGCGCAAGCCUGAUGCAGCCAUGCCGCGUGUGUGAAGAAGGCCUUCGGGUUGUAAAGCACUUUCAGCGGGGAGGAAGGGUCACUAGUUAAUACCUAGUGGCAUUGACGUUACUCGCAGAAGAAGCACCGGCUAACUCCGUGCCAGCAGCCGCGGUAAUACGGAGGGUGCAAGCGUUAAUCGGAAUUACUGGGCGUAAAGCGCACGCAGGCGGUUUGUUAAGUCAGAUGUGAAAUCCCCGAGCUCAACUUGGGAACUGCAUUUGAAACUGGCAAGCUAGAGUCUUGUAGAGGGGGGUAGAAUUCCAGGUGUAGCGGUGAAAUGCGUAGAGAUAUAGAGGAAUACCGGUGGCGAAGGCGGCCCCCUGGACAAAGACUGACGCUCAGGUGCGAAAGCGUGGGGAUCAAAAAGGAUUAGAUACCCUGGUAGUCCACGCUGUAAAC
rnacentral:rRNA from 1 species